GUCUAGAGAAGAGAGCAGAGCAGAGAACAGAGUUCUUUGAGGUGCUGUUAGUUUAAUUUAAUUCUCUAAGCAGCCCAACAAGCAACUGUAAAUAAGAUAUAGAGGUAAGAAGAAAGUAUUACUUAUUAUUUUUCAUUUUAUUUGGGUUGUUACUUAUAGAACAACAAUUUAAAUACUGGCCAGAUUACAAAGUAAGUUAAAUUAAACCGGAUAUCUCUCUCAAGUAAGUAGUCAAUAUUUCAAAUGAAAAUGCUUAGCAAAUUUACAAUGUCUCAACUUCAUACAAUCUUUAAAAAGCUGGAAAUUUUAAAAGUUCUCAUUGACCAUUAAAUUAUUUUAAUUGCAAAGUUAAACAUACUCUUUCUUCGUAAGUUUGUACACAACUUACACUAAAAGAAUUUUUAUAUUAAUGAUAAAUUUUGAGAACUUUUUUCUUUCCCAGCUCCAGUAAAUUCUUAACGUUUGUAAAUUCUUAACGUUUGUAAAUUCUCCUACAUAUAUUGGUUUGUUAAUUUUGCAUAUUAUUAGUUGAACAUUUUCUGGGGAAAAGAUAUUCUUGCAUUUGUUUACUCACUGUGAAAAUGUAUUAUUUUAAAAGGACAUUUCAGUGUUAUUUUUCAUAUCAUCACAUUACAGUGAUAUUUAAAUACUUUAGAAAAGCAAUUUGUAGCGUAUAUGAUAUGAUCUAGAAAAAUGAAUUCAUGUU
rnacentral:lncRNA from 1 species